GGUCCCGUAGCUCAACUGGAUAGAGCAACAGCCUUCUAAGCUGUGGGUUGCAUGUUCGAGUCAUGCCGGGAUCA
rnacentral:tRNA from 1 species